UGCUAUCGGNUUGAUACUAAGCCAUGCGAGUCAUUGUAGUAAUACAAGGCAGACGGCUCAGUAACGCGUAGUCAACCUAACCUAUGGACGGGAAUAACCUCGGGAAACUGAGUAUAAUGCCCGAUAGAACAUUAUGCCUGGAAUGGUUUAUGUUCCAAAUGAUUUAUCGCCGUAGGAUGGGACUGCGGCCUAUCAGUUUGUUGGUGAGGUAAUGGCCCACCAAGACUAUUACAGGUACGGGCUCUGAGAGGAGUGGCCCGGAGAUGGGUACUGAGACACGGACCCAGGCCCUAUGGGGCGCAGCAGGCGAGAAAACUUUGCAAUGUGCGAAAGCACGACAAGGUUAAUCCGAGUGGUUUCUGCUAAAGGAACCUUUUGUCGGUCCUAGAAACACCGAUGAGUAAGGGGUGGGCAAGUUCUGGUGUCAGCCGCCGCGGUAAAACCAGCACCUCAAGUGGUCAGGAUGAUUAUUGGGCCUAAAGCAUCCGUAGCCGGCUUUGUUAGUUUUCGGUUAAAUCUGUACGCUUAACGUACAGGCUGCCGGGAAUACUGCAGAGCUAGGGAGUGGGAGAGGUAGACGGUACUCGGUAGGAAGGGGUAAAAUCCUUUGAUCUAUUGAUGACCACCUGUGGCGAAGGCGGUCUACCAGAACACGUCCGACGGUGAGGGAUGAAAGCUGGGGGAGCAAACCGGAUUAGAUACCCGGGUAGUCCCAGCUGUAAACUAUGCAAACUCAGUGAUGCAUUGGCUU
rnacentral:rRNA from 1 species